GUAUCGGGGCUAAACGAUUCACCGAAGCUGUGGAUUGACAUCUACGAUGUCAGUGGUAGGAGAGCGUUCUAAGUGCGUUGAAGUCAGAUCGGAAGGACUGGUGGAGCGCUUAGAAGUGAGAAUGCCGGUAUGAGUAGCGAAAGACGGGUGAGAAUCCCGUCCACCGUAUGACUAAGGUUUCCUGAGGAAGGCUCGUCCGCUCAGGGUUAGUCGGGACCUAAGCCGAGGCCGAUAGGCGUAGGCGAUGGACAACAGGUUGAUAUUCCUGUACCACCUCCUCACCGUUUGAGAAAUGGGGGGACGCAGUAGGAUAGGGUAAGCGCGCUGUUGGAUAUGCGCGGCCAAGCAGUAAGGCGUGUGUGUAGGCAAAUCCGCACACUGUAACGUUGAGCUGUGAUGGCGAGUCCGUAUGGACGAAGUUCCUGAUUUCACACUGCCAAGAAAAGCCUCUAUCGAGGUGAGAGGUGCCCGUACCGCAAACCGACACAGGUAGUCGAGGAGAGAAUCCUAAGGUGUGCGAGAGAACUCUCGUUAAGGAACUCGGCAAAAUGACCCCGUAACUUCGGGAGAAGGGGUGCUCUUGAGCGUGCAAGCGCAUGAGAGCCGCAGUGAAUAGGCCCAGGCGACUGUUUAGCAAAAACACAGGUCUCUGCAAAACCGU
rnacentral:rRNA from 1 species